rnacentral:rRNA from 1 species
CAGCGCCACGAAUGGCAAUCACGAUUAUUGGGCCUAAAGCGUCCGUAGCCUGUUUGAUAAGUCUUUUGUGAAACUGUUUAGCUCAACUAAACAACGUGCAGAAGAUACUGUCAGACUUGGAACCGGAGAGGGGUUAGAGGUAUUCUGGGGGGAGCGGUAAAAUGCUAUAAUCCUCGGAAGACCACCUGUGGCGAAGGCGUCUAACUAGAACGGUUUCGACGGUGAGGGACGAAAGCUAGGGGAGCGAACCGGAUUAGAUACCCGAGUAGUCC